GUACACGCUGUGACUAGCAUAUCAAUAAGCGGAGGAAAAGAAACUAACAAGGAUUCCCCUAGUAACGGCGAGUGAAGCGGGAAGAGCUCAAAUUUGAAAUCUUAAAGGGUUUCCCUUUACGAAUUGUAGUUUAAAGAAGUGUUUUCUGUUGAGGUUUUGGUAAAAGUUCUUUGGAAUAGGACAUCAUAGAGGGUGAGAAUCCCGUAUUUGACCUUUACUUUCAACUUUGUGAUACACUUUCAAAGAGUCGGAUUGUUUGGGAAUGCAGUCCAAAAUGGGUGGUAAAUUUCAUCUAAAGCUAAAUAUUGGCGAGAGACCGAUAGCGAACAAGUACCGUGAGGGAAAGAUGAAAAGAACUUUGAAAAGAGAGUUAAACAGUACGUGAAAUUGUCAAAAGGGAAGCGUUUGACACCAGUGUUGUUUUUCUGAAAAUCAAUUAAAGAACUGUUUAUGCUAAGCUGUUUAGACUUUAUCAGCUAUCUGUUUAGUUUUGAGCUUUUCUUUAAUGCACUUUUCAGUUAACAAGUCAACAUCAAUUUCUUUUGCUGUAAAAAGCUUGAGGAAGGUGGCUUGAGAUUCGUCUUAAGUGUUUAUAGCCUCUUGCCUAUGCAGUCGGAGAGAUUGAGGUCUGCAGCGUAGAUCCUUCGGGGCUAAAUGCAUUUGUGCUAAGUUAUAGCAUUUCAUAGACAACUUGUUGACUAUGAUUUGUCUUGUAGCUUACUCGCUUAUGUUAUUUUACCUACGCUUAGGAUGUUGACGAGACUGUCGAUCUC
rnacentral:rRNA from 1 species